rnacentral:rRNA from 1 species
AACGAACGCUGGCGGCAGGCCUAACACAUGCAAGUCGAACGCCCGUAGCAAUACGGGAGUGGCAGACGGGUGAGUAACGCGUGGGAACGUGCCCUUCGGUUCGGAAUAACUCAGGGGAACUUGAGCUAAUACCGGAUACGUCCGUAAGGAGAAAGAUUUAUCGCCGAAGGAUCGGCCCGCGUCGGAUUAGCUAGUUGGUGAGGUAACGGCCCACCAAGGCGACGAUCCGUAGCUGGUCUGAGAGGANGAUCAGCCACACUGGGACUGAGACACGGCCCAGACUCCUACGGGAGGCAGCAGUGGGGAAUAUUGGACAAUGGGCGAAAGCCUGAUCCAGCCAUGCCGCGUGAGUGAAGAAGGCCUUAGGGUUGUAAAGCUCUUUCAGCGGGAAGAUAAUGACGGUACCCGCAGAAGAAGCCCGGCUAACUUCGUGCCAGCCGCCGCGGUAAG